AUGAUCUGUUUUGCUAUAUAUAGACCUCCUUGUCCAUUUAUAGACCAAACCAUAAAUUCUAGGAUGUUUGUUCCCCUAGCCGCCGCCACCUACAGCCUUCCCCCUCCUCGGAUCUGCCGCCUCCACCGCUCACCAAAUCUUCCCCUGGGAUCCCCUCCCGAUCCAGCCCGCCAACCAGCAACUCCCACCUCUCCCUCUCAGAUCGACCCCGCGCUCGAUCCCGAAUGGAUCAAGGCGUUGCCUUCGCUCGCACAUCUCCUCUGGAUUCAUCCCGAGACCAACCAGGCCCCGAGCGACCUCACUCCCCUGCCGUCGCCGGUAACCGCGUCACCGGGAUCCAACAAGGCCUCAACCUCCUCGCGCCGAGCAACCCUCCUGGCCGCCUCCCUCCUCCCGUGCUUCAAACUAGGGCGGGUUGGAACCAGUGCUCGAGCCCUCCUGUACCUCUCCUCGAGCUCGGUCGCCUCAACGCCGUCCUCCCCUUCGUCUUCCCCUUCCGUUCCCUCCUUCCUCCUUCCAUGCCGUAACUCCCUCCAACUCCCUCUGUUUUUGUCUCACAGGGAGAACAAGACGCGCCGGCCUCCAUGGAUUUCGCACCGGAGCUCCAUCCGCGCCGGAUCCCCCUCUUCGACCUUCGCUGACUUCAUUCCGCGCUUCCCUGUGCUCGUCGGGGUCGCAAGUACCACGCUGCCGCUGCUCUGCUUCGUGUCAGGCGGAGGUCCACGCUCGCAACCUUCCAGCCUCGCCUCAACACGGGUUCCACGUCCACUUCUAGACCUCCCCGGCUUCGUAUGGUCUAGCGCAGCCGCCCCGUGUCGUCCGGCUCGUCCCGCCUCCCGCAGGUCUCCCCGUCGCCUGCCGGAGUCCCAGCGUCGCCGGGAGCUUGCGCCAAGUCCGCCGUCGUCCUCUGCUCGAGAACAAGUUUGUGUCGUCGACUGCUUCGCCUCGGAUUCAGACGCCCAUCGCCGGAGGCCGCCGUCCCGCACCUGGAGCCGCGCCCCUCCGUCCCCCGCGCCUCCGUCUCUUCCUCGCCGCCACACUCCUUUUUCAUGCCGUGCCGCUUCUCUGUUUUAUUCAAGCAGGAUGACGAGCGCACGCAGCCGCGGCGCGUUGACCCGCACCUGGGUCGCGUCCAGCAUGCCAAGGCCCAGUGCGCCCCUCCUGCAGCCUCCCUUCCAAUCGGGCCAAGGCCCAUGCUCCGGUUUCGUUCUGGAGUUGUGA
rnacentral:rRNA from 1 species